GAGGAACCCACAGCUGGGAGGGUCAUCUGACCUUAAUUCUUUGCUCCAGCUGGGAUAGGGGGGGCGGACUUCUAGAUGUGGGAGGGGAUGUCCCAAGCAAAGCAUUCAUUUGCCAAUUAGUGAUUGCCAAAUCCUUGACACCUGACAUGCACAUAUUUAAAUAGACUGGGUGUAUACCUGACACCUGCCUGUGAUCCUAUCUUAAUACUAUGCUGGACACACCACACAUAGGGUAAGGCUGCACUUUCAAAUCCUGCACAAAGUUAUCCUUCCUAUGCCUACUAAAUCUAAUCAAUAAUAAUAUUUCCCCUCCAGAUACGCUUUUUCUUGCUCUCUCUGGAGAUCGCUUCCAUACUCAUAUUCUAAACAUUUAAUAAGGCAUCACUCUGGCAAUUGCUUUGCUGGGCUCCCCCUCCACCUGUCCGGCCCGCACUCUCUGACUGGACUUUUGGAUUUUUUCCCAGUUAUACUGUGGGUCCCUGCAGGCCACACUUGUGGGGCAUCGUUGAGGCCUUUUUGGGGGUGCUAACCACCCGUAUGGAGAAAAGUAACUAGGGAUCCUCAGGAUUAUAACCUUACUCUGGUCCAAAUAGAACUGAGAAACACAAUCUUUUGCAUCAUAUACCCUUUCCUCCGAAGAAGACCCAUAU